AACGAACGCUGGCGGCAGGCCUAACACAUGCAAGUCGAGCGAAGCCUUCGGGCUUAGCGGCGGACGGGUGAGUAACGCGUGGGAACGUGCCCUUUGGUACGGAAUAGCCCCGGGAAACUGGGAGUAAUACCGUAUGUGGUCGAGAGACGAAAGAUUUAUCGCCAAAGGAUCGGCCCGCGUUGGAUUAGGUAGUUGGUGGGGUAAUGGCCUACCAAGCCGACGAUCCAUAGCUGGUUUGAGAGGAUGAUCAGCCACACUGGGACUGAGACACGGCCCAGACUCCUACGGGAGGCAGCAGUGGGGAAUCUUAGACAAUGGGGGAAACCCUGAUCUAGCCAUGCCGCGUGAUCGAUGAAGGCCUUAGGGUUGUAAAGAUCUUUCAGUGGGGAAGAUAAUGACUGUACCCACAGAAGAAGCCCCGGCUAACUCCGUGCCAGCCGCCGCCGUAACAC
rnacentral:rRNA from 1 species